GCUCGCUCGCCGCUUCCUCGGGGCGCGAGUGGGGAUAUAAACCGGUCGUCGAGUUUAGUUCAUCACGGUAACUCUUGGAUGAAAGGUUGUGCGAAUUUGUGCGGAACAGGAAGAGGAAUAAUGCUACUACCACACGUCUUGGUUGUUUUGGCCGCGCUGGCGUUCGCAGAUUGUGCUACCGUCGAGGAAAAGUUGCGGGACGACGCUGAUCUUUCUCAGGUAAAGAAAACCAAAAAAAAAAUAGAUACUAAAUAAAAUGAAAAAAAGAAAAAGAAAAGGUAGAUGAUGAUGAAAAAGAGGUAUUUGAGAGGAGACUACCUCGGUGCAUAAUAACACACACAGUUUUGUUUACCAGCUCGAAAGUCAAGGUUAACGAUCACACAAAUACAUAAGCAGAGAAAUGUUUCAUUAUCGAACAAUGUGGAACAAGAAGGACUUUUGCGCCAGUUCGAAAUUUGCCGCCCAUUAUUUAAUUCCGCGCGCCGUUUAUUCGCUUACAAUUAACUCGCUCUUUUUACAGUCAUCACCGCAUUCAUGCAUGCGUACGUUCCUCGAAAAGCCAAAGCUCUUCCUCUACUUUUUACCACUUGCCCGGGUGGUAAUUAGGGCAUCCCUUUGAAGUCGCGGAUGUUGGAAAGUUUCGUGUGCGCGCUACCAAACUCCGAAACAAAACCCUUACAAAAA